UGAUGAGGACUCUUCGGUGUCAUGGUUAAGU
rnacentral:piRNA from 1 species